GAUAGCUAUUGCUAAAAAUAAUAACAACAACUUAAUGAACUUAAUUAUAGGAGCAAACAUAUUUAUGUGAUACAAAAUUGCUAUAUAUUCUUUUAUUUUCCUGGUAUAACUGUUUUUAUCUCUUUUGAUGAUUUUAAUUUUUUUCUCAAUGUUAGUCAUAGAAAUUUCAGUGAGUUUGGGCCAAUUACUGAUCCCAUUCCAAUGCCAUUAGUUUGUCUGUAGAAUUUUUCUUCUGUAGUGAAGUAGUUAUUUUCUAAAAUAAAUUUUAUUAGUAUUUUUAAUUAAUCGUCAAGUUCUGAAAUUGAGUUGAAGAUGAUUUAUAGAAUAUGGAGGGAUACAUAUUGAUAAUAUCAGAGCCUACUAUUCUGUGGUUAUUUUUGUUAACACUAAUAUUUAUUUAUUUAUGGUAUGCAAUAUUACAAAGACAACAAGAAUGAAAUAGGAAAGGCAAAAGAAAGGAAUUCUUGCAUUCCUUUUUCUUGCCUUUUGUUUGUAGGUAGGAGACAAUCAAAUCAUUAGUCUAUCCUUUUAAACUAUACUAUUCGAUAUAACUUACACAGGUGCCCCAUUAACUGUACAACAAACUUUCCACCAUACUUUAAUAUUUGAAUCAUGAUUUCUCUGUAAUAGAACUUUUGCAUUUCAAUUAUCAGUCAUAAUUUCAACCUUUUCCAACUGAUUUUGCUUCUUAUCUUCAGUCAUCCAUUGCAUUCAUCCUGUUCCUGUGCUCAUUCAUCUCUUCAGUAGACAUAAAAUCUCAUGAAAAUAAUCUUGCUAUCUAUAAUUAUUCUACAUUUAUCUUACAGCAUCCUGCCAUUACUAUUUUUGAUAACAUUUCAAUUUUGUUUUCUUCUCAAAUUUCUCAUAUACAUCAAAAUUUCCUUUUGUUUCAUUCAAAAAUCACACUGCAAUUUCCUCUCUCUCUCUCUUUAUGCUUUUAUCACUCAUGCAUCCUCUUUCUUGAAC
rnacentral:lncRNA from 1 species